AUUGAACGCUGGCGGCAGGCCUAACACAUGCAAGUCGAGCGGAUGAAGGGAGCUUGCUCCUGGAUUCAGCGGCGGACGGGUGAGUAAUGCCUAUGAAUCUGCCUGGUAGUGGGGGAUAACGUCCGGAAACGGGCGCUAAUACCGCAUACGUCCUGAGGGAGAAAGUGGGGGAUCUUCGGACCUCACGCUAUCAGAUGAGCCUAGGUCGGAUUAGCUAGUUGGUGGGGUAAAGGCCUACCAAGGCGACGAUCCGUAACUGGUCUGAGAGGAUGAUCAGUCACACUGGAACUGAGACACGGUCCAGACUCCUACGGGAGGCAGCAGUGGGGAAUAUUGGAAAGUGGGCGAAAGCCUGAUCCAGCCAUGCCGCGUGUGUGAAGAAGGUCUUCGGAUUGUAAAGCACUUUAAGUUGGGAGGAAGGGCAGUAAGUUAAUACCUUGCUGUUUUGACGUUACCAACAGAAUAAGCACCGGCUAACUUCGUG
rnacentral:rRNA from 1 species